rnacentral:rRNA from 1 species
AUGGAUCAUCAAAUCCCCAAGGGUUUUAAACCCGUAAACAUUGAAUCAUAUGAUGGCACAACAGAUCCCACGGUAUGGAUCGAGGGUUAUCUCCUUCAUAUUCACAUGGCCCGUGGUGAUGAUCUACACGCUAUCAAAUACCUCCCGCUCAAGCUUAAAGGACCAGCUCGGCAUUGGCUUAAUAGCCUACCAGCAGAGUCAAUUAGUUGUUGGGAGGACCUGGAAUCCGCGUUCCUGGAAAACUUCCAAGGCACUUAUGUGCGACAACCAGACGCCGAUGACCUCAGCCACAUAAUCCAGCAGCCAGAGGAAUCGGCCAGACAAUUCUGGACACGGUUCCUAACCAAGAAGAAUCAAAUAGUCGACUGUCCGGACGCCGAGGCCCUUGCAGCCUUCAGGCACAACAUCCGAGACGAAUGGCUCGCCCAGCACCUAGAACAGGAAAAGCCGAAAUCUAUGGCAGCCCUCAUGACACUCAUGACCCGCUUUUGCGCGGGUGAAGACAGCUGGCUAGCUCGUAGCAAUAACAUAACUAAGAGCCCUGGCAAUUCAGAUACCAAGGACAAUAACGGCAGGUCACGUCGCAACAAACACAAGCGCCGCAUUAACAGCGACAACACUGAGGAUACGGCAGUUAAUGCCGGAUUCAGAGGCUCUAAACCCGGUCAGCGGAAGAAGCCAUUCAAAAGAAACCCUCCGGGCCCAUCCAGUUUAGACCGGAUACUCGAUCGCUCGUGCCAGAUACACGGCACCCCCGAACAACCAGCCAACCACACCAACAUGGAUUGUUGGGUGUUCAAGCAGGCAGGCAAGUUAAGUGCCGAAAUCAGAGACAAGGGGCUGCAUAGCGAUGACGAGGAGGGGCCCCGGCCACCGAACAACAGAGCACAGAAGGGUUUCCACCCGCAAGUGCGAACGGUGAACAUGAUAUACGCAACCCAUAUCCCCAAAAGGGAGCGGCAACGUGCUCUCAAGGACGUCUAUGCGUUGGAGCCGGUCGUUCUCAAGUUCAACCCAUGGUCCUCCCGCCCGAUCACUUUUGAUCAAAGGGACCACCCCACUAGCAUCCGUCACGGCGGAUUCGCCGCAUUGGUCCUAGACACAAUCAUUGACGGAUUUCACCUCACUAGAGUCCUCAUGGAUGGCGGCAGCAGCCUGAACCUGCUGUAUCAGGAUACAGUGCGGAAAAUGGGCAUAGAUCCCUCAAGGAUUUAA